CCUACGGGGGGCAGCAGUGGGGGAUAUUGCACAAUGGGGGGAACCCUGAUGCAGCGACGCCGCGUGGGUGAAGGAGCGUUUCGGCGCGUAAAGCUCUAUCGGCAGGGAAGAAGAAGGACGGUACCUGACCAAGAAGCCCCGGCUAACUACGUGCCAGCAGCCGCGGUAAUACGUAGGGGGCAAGCGUUAUCCGGAUUUACUGGGUGUAAGGGGGGCACAGACGGGAGCGCAAGCCAGGAGUGAAAGCCCGGGGCCCAACCCAGGGACUGCUAUUGGAACUGCGCGGCUGGAGUGCAGGUGGGGCAGGCGGAAUUCCUGGUGUAGCGGUGAAAUGCGUAGAUAUCAGGAGGAACCCCGGUGGCGAAGGCAGCCUGCUGGACUGCGACUGACGUUGAGGCCCGAAAGCGUGGGGAGCAAACAGGAUUAGAUACCCGAGUAGUC
rnacentral:rRNA from 1 species